rnacentral:rRNA from 1 species
GACGUAGGAGGCGAGCGUUGUCCGGAAUCAUUGGGCGUAAAGAGCGUGUAGGCGGCCCGAUAAGUCCGCUGUGAAAGUCCAGGGCUCAACCCUGGAAUGCCAGUGGAAACUGUCGGGCUGGAGUCCGGAAGAGGCGAGUGGAAUUCCUGGUGUAGCGGUGAAAUGCGCAGAUAUCGGGAGGAACACCGGUGGCGAAGGCGGUUCUCUGGGCCUGACCUGACGCUGAGGAGCGAAAGCUAGGGGAGCAAACGGG